rnacentral:rRNA from 1 species
CCUACGGGGGGCAGCAGUGAGGAAUAUUGGUCAAUGGACGAGAGUCUGAACCAGCCAAGUCGCGUGAAGGAUGACUGCCCUAUGGGUUGUAAACUUCUUUUAUAUGGGAAUAAAAUGUUCCACGUGUGGGAUUUUGUAUGUACCAUAUGAAUAAGGAUCGGCUAACUCCGUGCCAGCAGCCGCGGUAAUACGGAGGAUCCGAGCGUUAUCCGGAUUUAUUGGGUUUAAAGGGAGCGUAGGUGGAUUUUUAAGUCAGUUGUGAAAGUUUGCGGCUCAAACGUAAAAUUGCAGUUGAAACUGGCAGUCUUGAGUACAGUAGAGGUGGGCGGAAUGCGUGGUGUAGCGGUGAAAUGCUUAGAUAUCACGAAGAACUCCGAUUGCGAAGGCAGUUCACUGGACUGCAACUGACACUGAGGCUCGAAAGUGUGGGUAUCAAACAGGAUUAGAUACCCGGGUAGUC